UACGUAGGGGCCUAGCGUUGUCCGGAAUCAUUGGGCGUAAAGAGCUCGUAGGCGGCCGGUUGCGUCUGCUGUGAAAUCCCGGGGCUUAACCCCGGGCGUGCAGUGGGUACGGGCAGACUAGAGUAUGGUAGGGGAGACUGGAAUUCCUGGUGUAGCGGUGAAAUGCGCAGAUAUCAGGAGGAACACCGAUGGCGAAGGCAGGUCUCUGGGCCACUACUGACGCUGAGAAGCGAAAGCAUGGGGAGCGAACAGG
rnacentral:rRNA from 1 species